rnacentral:lncRNA from 1 species
AUGCUUCUUGCAGCAUGUCCUGGGGAGCAGCACCCAGCGAUCCCAGCUAGCACAGGAGAGAGGCUCAAGCCCCAGCCUGCAGGCCCUGAGGUUCUAGCUCGCUGGAGGCUGCGGGUGUGGGCUCUGUGGUGUGCGCAGGCAAGGCUGAAAGAGGUUCUGCAGCGCUCCUGGAUCUAGUAUCCUUUGCUUGGUUGCCUGUGAUUGAAUUUGCUGGCAGAGGUGAUGCCUUCCAGUUGUGUGUUCCUUAAUACGUGCGUUUGAAGAUAACCUAUGAUGGAUGUGGCUGAAAUAUUGAGGGUGUGCACUGCUA